CUGGCCCUGUAUCAAGGCCAACAGUUUUCUGAAGCUGUUGGUUUCAAUCAGAGGCCUACAGUGGUAUCUUUCUGUGGUCUGUUGGCCAUUUUUGAACUUGCGAAAUAUAAUGGUCAAUUCAUUAGAAAAAAACAACU
ensembl:snoRNA small nucleolar RNA SNORA2/SNORA34 family